rnacentral:lncRNA from 1 species
GGGUAAUCUUCCUGAGCACAGACUUGGCCGAACUUAUUUUUCCUCAAGGCCGCAUUUUCAAGGUAGCUGAUGAAAUCGAGGUCCAAGAUAAAAAAAAAUUGUCCGUUGGUGUGCCUUUUGAGAUUGAAUGAUCCUGAUUCGAAACGCCCCAGAUGCGGCCGUCUGAUCAGCUUGAAGGGUCUGAUUGAUCUGAUUUUCUUAUUUUUUUUCUCUCUCUUCUUGGUUUGCAUCAGAAAAUGGGCGUUCGUAUUGAGAUAUUGAAAGGAUAUUGCAUAACAUGGUGAGUGUUAUGGCGGGUUUUCUUGAAGCUGAUGAUAUUUUCAAUGUUGUUUGUGUUCUUCGGUGUAGCUGCGCAGAGAGAGAAUAGCAGAAAGGAUCAGAGCUCUGCAGGAAUUGGUCCCAAACACUAACAAGGUUACUCUGCUAUGCUGAUUAUUUUUUGCAUGUUUUUCUUUUUUUAUUAUUGCAGGAAGAACAGAGCAUGCAAUUAAUUGAAUAAUCUCUUUAAGUGAAUAAUGCAACCUUUCAGGGGACAUUAACUAAUAAAAUUGUGAAAUAUGAUCUCCAUGUAUAAAAUUUUUCUGCACGACUGCUGGAAAAGAAUAUAACAGCUUUCAUGGAUUCUGUGACAGAUGAACCGUGAAUGAUAUUUUAUGAAAAUCAGUGGGUGUUCUGAGAAUAGUUUUGACGGGGAUGAUUAGGCGAACGAAACCAUCGUCAAAAAGAGUAAUAGAAACCAUUUUCAAAUCGUGAAUGAAUUGAAGAUUUUGGGAACUCUUUUCUUCCAGAUAUCUAAUUUGCCAAUCAUUUGUUUAAUUAUUCUGAAAAUUUUCAUCUUGAUGAUCUGUGGAGUCCUCUAGUCAUAAUGAUUUUUAUCUGUCGGCAAGGAUUGCUGAUGAAGAUUCAGCACUACCUGGUAUAACACAGAAGGAUAAGUCAUCCACAAAUCUGACAGAAAAAUACAUGUUCUUCAAGAAAAUCCAUUAUCAACUUCUUUCAUGCAUCGAAUAGUCACAUCAGGCUUGGUUUUUUACUUUGGGAAGUGGUACUAUGUCUUUCAACCUAUAUGGUUUCCAUUUUAGCCAAUCCGUAGUUGACAGUCAGGGCUGCGUUAUUAACUUUUGGGCUGAUAUGAUCAACCCUGCUAAACAUUUUUUUCCCUAGAUAAUAAUCACUUGUUCUAUGUCAAAUCAGGUUUGACCAUGCUCUGCCAUUCUGAGAAAUGUCUCUUUUAGGUCAUUCCAUGGUAAACUUUCCAAGCAAUUGAAGCAAACUAUGAAUCAAAGAAAAAUCCAGGAUGUGACUCUGGAUAUUCAUUGAAUUAUGUUUCAGGAUGUGACUAGAAUGUUCCCAAUAAAUAUUCUUUGUGGAUGGUUUAAUAAAUUCUAGUCGUGGAAUUGACGUUCUUUCCUAACAUUAAGUGCCAUGAAUUCUGAAAUAAGCAAUCAUGUCUAAAAUUUCAACCCCUGUAUACUUUUGACUGUAGAUUUUCUAUCAUAUGUACAAUUAUAUGUCACUUAUUGAAAGAAGAUUUGUGCUUCUAUCUUGGAGGUCGUAACUUUCCCUGAGUUAACGUCAAUAUAUUUCUCAUAAAUUUUCAGACAGAUAGAGCAGCCAUGCUUGACGAAAUUAUGGACUAUGUGAAAUUCCUGAGGCUUCAAGUAAAGGUAUGAGUUGGGCCUCUAUGCUUCUUCGAGCACGGAAUAAUAGACUAAAUCAGGACAGAAGAAUCUUAGCAAUGUUUCCUUAGAAAACUGUUCUAACUUUACUUAGACAUGCCAUUGGUCUACCUUUUUUUAUCUAUAGAAAUCCUGCACUUUCAUCUGUUAGACAUACUUCCUCCGCAGCAAGCAAGCUCCAGUUUACAUCAUACAAUUGAUUUCAUCACUAAAAGAAUUUUCCUCAAGAUGACGGGAUUUCAUCUUCGUUCCUUUUUCUUUCUUUUUUUUUGCUUGGGGGAGGGGGGGCGGGUGUUUGAGCAGUGUUCAGAAGAUCUGGGGUAUGCCUUUUUGGCAAUAGGUCUUCUUUGCUCCUCAUUGUUCAAAGGGAGACAUUAGAGACUCCACUUAUCUCCCGACCACCUCUAAGCAGCCUUGUUGCUUCAGGUUCUCAGCAUGAGCAGACUUGGGGGAGCCAGUGCCGUUGCGCAGCUGGUAGCCGACAUCCCACUGCCAACAGUUGAGGUAACGGAAUGGGUUUUUGGAAUGAAGGCUGAAGGGGUUGUUGAUGGAGGGAUCUCAUGGCCUGUUCUUCUUUGCUCUCCACAUUCAUGGCGAUCAAGGGGGAGGCAGGCGAAGGCGGGAGUGCCCAGCAGGUCUGGGAGAAGUGGUCAAAUGAUGGAACGGAGCAGCAGGUGGCGAAGCUCAUGGAAGAAGAUGUCGGCGCAGCCAUGCAGUUCCUCCAGUCCAAGGCCCUCUGCAUCAUGCCGAUCUCUUUGGCUGCCACCAUCUACCAGACACACCACCAGCACGAGGCCCCCGCGGCCAUCAAGCCAGAGCCCAGCGCCCCUUCAUAGCUCAGUAUCAGCCUGCCUGCACGUGCACAUCGAUGACUCCUAUGUACAGGCCCUCCCCCCAAGCAGAAGACACCUUGGACGGGGUGGCUCCCGGAGACCCAUCCCUUAUGUGCAUCGAUGCCAUUACGCUCUUCUACCUUUUUCCUUUGUCCAGGUGAACAGAAGAAGAAAUUGGCUGACAGAUGUUAUCCCACAGGUCUUCUCACGUUCUUGAGUAAACGUCUGGAUUGUCAAAGGCCUUGCUCGAUCCCCUCUGAUCUACUUUCCUCUUUUUCCCUUUUUCCGUGUGGGUUUCUGACUGUGGGGUUUAUGAUGCACUACCCAAACAAUUCAUGGUGGGGAUGUUCUUUUCUUCCAUAAUGGAUGGUGGGGUCCGUUUCUUAAAGCGGAUGUCCCUGGGUGGGUUAGGUUGCCAUCAUGCGAUUCGGAGGAACGCAGGGGGAAAGCCGGCUCCGGCUGUGGGUGUUGAAUGAUCGAGUCAACACCGUUUCCUGCUCCCGAGGGAGGAAAUCUCGUCCAGAUUGUCUUGCUUCCAAAUCUCCACUGAAUCAAUCGGCGAUCGAUUUCAUUUCAAAUCCGGCGCGUUCAAUGGAAACAGAAAUUCGGCCGCGGCGAUCAGGUGAGAAGGAGGGUUUAUGGAUCCAUACCGGAGGACGACGGCGGAGAGUCCGCCGCCACCGCAGAUUAGGUCAACAAGCGUCGACGCGCUGCCUCGUCUUGCUUUCUUCCUCUGCCACUGGGGAUCUGGCCUCCCUUCACCACCUUCCAUAGAUUUCCAACUCGCGGAGAUCGGGGACGGCGCACCAUGGUGCGAGAGAGGGAGGGGAGGUUCCUCCCUCAGCGCAGCCCCCGUCGCCGGUGGCCUCUGGCAUCCACGGAUUCGCCGUCACCGGCUGCGGCCGGCUUCGACAUCUCGAAGGUUCUGGCUCGAUUGAAGGGGCCGGGCCGCCUUCAGAAACCGUAUUCGCUCGUGGACUUGCUGCAUCCGCGAGAGCGGUCACGUAGCAAAAUGGAAAUGAUCCACAAC